CUACGGGAUGCAGCAGUGGGGAAUAUUGGACAAUGGGGGCAACCCUGAUCCAGCAAUACCGCGUGUGUGAAGAAGGCCUGCGGGUUGUAAAGCACUUUCAGUGGGGAAGAGAAGUCAAUGGCGAAUAGCCAUUGGCAGAGACAUUACCCACAGAAGAAGCACCGGCUAAGUCUGUGCCAGCAGCCGCGGUAAUACAGAGGGUGCAAGCGUUAAUCGGAAUUACUGGGCGUAAAGCGCACGUAGGUGGACAAUCAAGUUGGAUGGGAAAGCCCCGGGCUUAACCUGGGAAAGCCAUACAAAACUGUUUGUCUAGAGUACAGUAGAGGGAAGUGGAAUUUCAGGUGUAGCGGUGAAAUGCGUAGAUAUCUGAAGGAACACCAGUGGCGAAGGCGGCUUCCUGGACUGAUACUGACACUGAGGUGCGAAAGCGUGGGUAGCGAACAGGAUUAGAUACCCCGGUAGUC
rnacentral:rRNA from 1 species